rnacentral:rRNA from 1 species
ACGGGUGAGUAAUAUAUCGGAACGUGCCCAAUCGUGGGGGAUAACGUAGAGAAAUUUACGCUAAUACCGCAUACGAUCUAAGGAUGAAAGCGGGGGAUCGCAAGACCUCGCGCGAUUGGAGCGGCUGAUAUCAGAUUAGGUUGUUGGUGAGGUAAAAGCUCACCAAGCCGACGAUCUGUAGCUGGUUUGAGAGAACGACCAGCCACACUGGGACUGAGACACGGCCCAGACUCCUACGGGAGGCAGCAGUGGGGAAUUUUGGACAAUGGGCGAAAGCCUGAUCCAGCAAUGCCGCGUGCAGGAAGAAGGCCUUCGGGUUGUAAACUGCUUUUGUACGGAACGAAACGGCUCUUUCUAAUAAAGAGGGCUAAUGACGGUACCGUAAGAAUAAGCACCGGCUAACUACGUGCCAGCAGCCGCGGUAAUACGUAGGGUGCGAGCGUUAAUCGGAAUUACUGGGCGUAAAGCGUGCGCAGGCGGUUAUGUAAGACAGUUGUGAAAUCCCCGGGCUCAACCUGGGAAUUGCAUCUGUGACUGCAUAGCUUGAGUACGGUAGAGGGGGAUGGAAUUCCGCGUGUAGCAGUGAAAU